CCCCUAGUUCCCCCACUAAAACUCUUAACUUUGCAAACACGCCGUCUCUCUUGCUUUCUCUCCCUCCCUCCCUCCCUGCGACAUUAUAAAAAAAUCCCAAAAAAUCUCAAACGGCAAGUUGUGAUGGCAUCAGAUUUUGCGAUGGACCAGUUCCGAUUUCUGAAAAGAUUACUAUUGGUUCAUGGUCACUGGAAUUAUCAGCGUGUUGGCUACUUAGUACUUUACAACUUCUAUCGCAAUGUUGUUUUUGUGUUGACGCUAUUCUGGUACAUAUUAUGCAGAGCCUUUUCAACGACUUCUGCCUUACCAGACUGAAGUAGUGUAUUUUAUUAUGUCAUAUAUACCUCUGUCCCUACUAUUGUUAUUGGCAUUCUUGACAAGGAUUUAAGUCAUAAAACACUCCUAGAGUAUCCUAAACUUCACGGCGUGGGGCAUAGACGUGAGGCGUAUAAUCUGCAACUCUUCUGGAUCACAAUGAUUGACACACAAUGGCAAAGCCUCGUUCUGUUCUAUAUACCUCUAUUUACAUAUAAGGAGAGCACAAUCGAUAUAUGGAGCAUGGGCAGUUUGUGGACUAUAGCAGUUGUUAUUCUUGUUAAUAUACACUUGGCAAUGGACAUUCGGUGCUGGGUAUUCAUUACUCAUGCUGCGGUGUGGGGAUCAAUAAUUAUCACAUAUGCCUGACAAUCUACCAUCUGGUGAAGUCACCCAUCUAUUGGCUCACCAUUCAGGAAAGAAAAAGGAAGGAAAUGCUGCGAGAUAUGUGACGAGGUCACAAGCGAUUAAAAUCCUUUAAGUUAGCCUUUCAGAUUUCAGGUUCAUCUCUUCUUUCUCACUUUUAUUAAUUUUUAUUAUUAUUUAAGCUUCCUUUAUUUGCCUUCUUUUAUCAUUUUUUUCAUGUUGUUUUUAGCUUCGAAGAUUAAUUAGCUUAGAAUUUGAAACUAUUGAGCGUCGUUAAGCUGAGAUUAGUUCAUCAGGUAGCAGUUAGUUGCUACUUUUGCUAACUCUUUUGCUAACUAUUUUUUUGCUCACUGAAGCAAAGAGAAGAAGUGUGUAUGGAAAAUAUUCUUAUUGCUAGCUUUUUACUUCAGCAUGAGUUUAUGACUGUUCAUUUUAUGUUAUAUUUUAAAGCUAUUUGUUUUUUUAAUUGAUAUGAUUUUGCUAUUAUCAUUAUUAUUAUCAAAAAUCGAGGAUUUUAGUAAGAAAACAUAAAAAAAGCCUCAACCAAAUGUGUUUGACUCUGGAUUUUUUUUUAAUUGAUAUGAUUUUUCUCAUUUCCUACUGGAUAGAAAUGUGUUUGACUCUAGAUAUUUUCAUCAUUCUAGGCAAGAAUGAUUGAUUUUUAUUACGGUCUGAUUAUGGUUUUAGUCCUCUGUUAUCAUUUGAUUUUAAUUUAGUAUAGUUUGGUUUCUUUAAUUUUAUAAUAUUGACGUGAAUUUAAAAAAAAAUGGUAGAUAUGUGAAUUUAUUAUUCGCUUGCCCUUCUUUAUUGCCUAAGCUGGAGUAAUGGAUAUCUAGCUGCAGAUGGAUCUUUCCAUAUUUAUCUUUAAGCAAUAUUGCUUAACAUGUAAUGACAAAAAUGGAAGCAAUAUCAUUCUACUACUAGUAGUAGUAGUAGUUAUUGAGGUAAAAUGGAGAAAUAUGAGGUGGUCAAAGAUUUGGGAGCCGGCAAUUUUGGGGUUGCUCGACUUCUCAGACACAAGGAUACCAAGGAGCUGGUUGCUAUGAAAUAUAUUGAGAGAGGUCACAAGAUAGAUGAGAAUGUGGCAAGAGAGAUUAUCAAUCACAGAUCUCUUAGACACCCUAAUAUAAUCCGGUUCAAGGAGGCAAGUAUCAUCUCUUGCUUCAUUUCCCUUUUAAAAAAUUUGGGAUGUUUAUAUUUUUGAUAGGAUAUAAAUGUUGUACGUGGUUUUGACACCUACCCAUUUAGCAAUUGUGAUGGAGUAUGCUGGUGGUGGUAAGCUCUUUGAUCAGAUUUGCAGUGCUGGUAGAUUCAGUGAAGAUGAGGUCCUUUUUCUGUUUCUAUUUUUAUUCUUUUCAUUCCCACUUUUUUUUUUGGAAACAAAAUUUAUUUUAGUGCUUACUUGUAUUUCUUCAGCAUAGAUAUUUUUUUCAGCAAUUGAUCUCUGGUGUCAAUUACUGUCACUCCAUAGUAUUUAAACUCAAAAAAAUCAAACCUUGAUGUUUCUUAGUGUAUGCCAAAUGCAAGAACUAAAUCUACUUAUUGUUUCCAUGUUCCUAUUCUCGUUUGCAGCAAAUAUGCCAUAGAGAUUUGAAAUUAGAAAAUACCCUUUUAGAUGGAAGUCCUGCACCUAGUUUGAAAAUCUGCGAUUUUGGUUACUCUAAGGUUUGGGGAUAAUUAUAUAUAGUCCAUCUUAAAUGUCAGUUCCUUUAUGAUUUUCCAAUCAUUAAGUUGUUUUUUUAACACUUGGUCUGUUGCAUUCAAGACCCAAAUCAACUGUUGGAACUCCAGCAUAUAUAGCACCGGAAGUUCUGGCACGACGAGAGUAUGAUGGAAAGGUAUUAUUUCAACUGUAUAAAAAAUAAAAGAAGAAGAAGAAGAAGAAGAAAUAUCUAUGUGAAAUAAAAACAUCUAGCUGAGCAUUCUAUUGAUCUGGUGUGCUAUUUUUGCCUUCGAAGCCUAACAUGUGAUCACAAAUAUCUAAUCCAAAGAUUUUGAAAUGCAUGAUAGUAUCUAUUCUUCCACUUCUUGGAUUUUCUCAUUUUUUAUUCGAUUUAUUACUUUAAAAAUAUAAGAGAUGUGAUGAAAUGCAUUUUGUAGUUGUCCUUGUUUAUGAAAGUUUGUAAUGCCUUAUACAUGUUGGAAGGGAUCAGGUUAAUUCUCACAUGCUUAUUAUAGUCAAGUACCUUUUUCAUUCUCUUCUUAAUUUGACAUCCAUCUCUUAAUAUGUUAAUAGAGAGAAAUUUUAAGCAUUAACCAGACAAUUAUUAUAUCAUGCUCUUCUGCAAUUUAAAGUUUUUCUUAGUGGCUGCGUUUUAUUAGGUGAUGAUAUAUUAGAAACUAGUAGUAGCCAAAGCUACAAUUAGCAGACCUUGUUUGGAAAUUGAUUCAGCCCAUAAAUGGUGAUUGUAAACUGUGUGAAGUUCAAAUUACUAAUUAGUAUUUGGCCUUUGUAUGUGAAAUAACUGUCCUUUCGGAUCUGCACUUUAUUGUAUGUUCUGCACAAGGUGGAAUUGUUGUGUUGGUUGUUACUAGGGGUAAUGAGUUUUGGCAUAUGGAUAUACAGAUCUGUGUGUUUGUGUUCGUCAGCAAUGAGAUACAGAUUAAUUGGUAUAUGAAGAGUUUCCACAAGAAAUGCUUAAAGCAAUAUUGCUUCCAUUUUUGUCAUUACAUAUUAAGCCUUUUCCACAAAAAAUGAUGGCCUUUUUAUCAUUACAUAUUAAGCCUUUUCUACAUCUGACAUGAUGGCACAUGUAGGGUGACUAAAAAUGAGUAUUUAGGUCUGAGAAAUGGCAUACUGGAUCAAUCAGCCAUAUUGCUUUCAAGCCAUGGUUGUCUAACUUACAUGAACUGCAAAGUAAGUCAAACUUUUUGUAGUAAUUUUAGGAAUAACAUAUCCUUCUUUGUUUUGAAGUGUUCGAUCUAUUUUUGUUAGCUUGGCACAGCUUAUGCUUAAUUUAGUCUUCAUACAAUUGCUAUAAUUUGGUUAUCAGCCAGAUUUAUGAUUGUUUUCUAUUUUUAUUGAUUUAUGUAAUCAAUCUCAAUUCUGCUUUUUGCAAAUUAAUACUAUUAUUCCUUGUUAAAAAAUUGAAUAGUUUAGACAAUCACUAAAAAGAAAGCCUAUUUGUGACACAUGGAAGAGCUAUGAUUGAGAUUGUUUGCUACUAAAGCUGCACAUAAUUGUUUGUUACAUUUUGUUUUGAGCCUUAAUGGCUAUAUAUAUUUUUUAUUUUUAACAUCUCUGUUGUUUACCAAGUUUGUUGGUUUAUCUGAUCAUUUGGUUUUGCAUCCUUUAGAUAUUAAAGGUAUAGUAGAGGAUUCAAUCUCUUCAAGCUGGAAAAGCCAAGGCUUAACACUUCUUCAAGUGGAGUGUUAUUUAAUGUUGCAUUCCAUGGUCGUUUAUCUUAGUCGGAACUUGAAUUUUUGUAGCUACCUUGUGUACUAGCUUUUUUAACCAUGAUUGUUAAUUAUUACGUGUUUUGUAGCUUCUUUUAUAUUUGGCCGAUUUAAUAUAGAUCAGAUGAGCUAUAAGGUA